rnacentral:lncRNA from 1 species
UUGGAGAACCAGCCUUGGGGAACAAAAUAUCCCUCCACCUAUCCAGACAUUUUCUUUGAUUGCUUUGAGACAGUUGCUGAGCCACCAUCCACAGCUUCACCUAUCAAGACAGGUGUCUCUGUUUUCCAUGAAAGGUGUGACUGCCGGAGAUCUCAGCAUUCUUCCACCCUUCCCUCCCAGCGCUGCAGAAAGCCUGGCAUAAGAGGCUUUUAGCUGAGACUCAUUGAGUCCUGGUACACAGAGAGCAGAUGUGAGGUCCCGCAAGGACGAAAAAGACAUUUCCUCCCCGCUGAGCUUGGGCACCAACAAUGACAAGCUGAAGGCAAAGCCUGUUCGGAAUUCGCCUCUAUGCAAUAUCCCCCUCUACUGGAUUCUUGCGUGGAAAACAGUACGCCGACAGCCUCUGCUGCCCUAGAAUCUUUUCAGCUCCUUCUCCAUGUUAACACACACUUUGGAGUCGCCAAGGUGAAUUCCAGCUGUCUGUCAGUCAUGAAGGAAGCAGAGGAGGCUGGUUCAGCCAG